AUAACCUUUGCAUGCCCCUCACCCCUCCACCUCUGCACAUAUACACACCCACUCACAUACACCUAUUCUGCUCUUGUGGGACCCCUGUACCGCAAAUGACAAGCAGUUUCCCACUGUGGGCGGCAAAAGGACGGCCUCACAGCACACUCUGUCAACUGUUUCCCUCACUCAAGAAAGCUCUGCAUACUUCUGUUUUUCAAAUGUACUGUAUCUGGUUUUGCUUUUUGAAUAAAACAAAUGUGAAAAAGAUCAGGAAAAUAACUGAAUCACGGUUCAACUAGGUCUCCUACUGUGAAGAACUACAUGGAAAGGUCUGCUUAUGCAAUAAAGUAAGAAACUGA